ensembl:lncRNA
ACAGUGUUUUAGGUGUCUGGAGGACUAGGAAGAAGCACUAGAAGAAGUGUCCCAGUCCCUGACAGGGCUUUUCUUUCAUUCAAGACUAAUUCCAGGAAAGUUCAUGAUAGUCUGCUGAGAAGUAUAUCGCUGUUUUUUUCACUCUCCUACAAAGGCUUUCAUCCAAAAAAAAAAAAAAAAGAAAGAAAAAAGCACAAAACUUCCAUAAAGUACUUCAUUAAUUAGGUAUUCAGGAACAUUCAGAGAGAUUUACUGAGUUUUCCCACAUGAAGUAUCCUGUGUGUGCAUCAAUCCAUAAAUAUAAUUUAGGUAAUAUUUGGCUAAGCUUCAAAAGUCCAUCAGUAAUCCCUAUCACUUGAGAUUUCCAAGCUUCGUGCAACUUGUUCUUUAUGAUCAUUUUUAUCCUUAUAUCUAUCUACUCUUUCAACAGAUGGUAUGAAAAGUAGUUUCAAAACAUGAAACAUUAAUGUAUUGACUACACAAACAGAAAAACAGUUAGGUGAAGUACUCCAGAUAUUAAACAAGCGAACAAAGAAGAUAAUUACUAACAAAUUAAAAAUUCAAAGUUUCAGUUCAGAUGAGAACUCAUUUCACUGUGUACUUCUGUGACAUUUUCAUUAUCAAUCAAGCAUUAUUUUCCCUUCACCUUUCAUUAUUUACCAUGACGGUAUCACCAAAGAUGGUAUUCAGCGAAGGUCUUGUAGACUUUCAAAGUGAAAGCUCCUUCUUGUAGAUAGUAACCUUGCAAGGGUAAAAGGCCUCCUUUCCACUUGAUCCCUACAAGCACAGAUAAUGAUUUCGCUGUUGUAACAGAGCAAUGUGCAAAAGUACUGCUCCCAUGAGUUACUUUCCUUAGACUUGAUCUUAAUUUCCAGCCUUCAUUAGUGGUGAUGGGAAAGGUCAUGAGAUUUGUAGCCAAAACUCUUCCCUCAACAAAUCUGAACCUUCUUCAGCUUCAGGAAUGCAACUGGUGGACACCAAAUAGACAUUUUUGUUGUUGUAGACAUUGUUACCUCACUUCAGAAAACAAACUUCCAUGGAGUCCAGCUUUCCCACUCUUUCAUGUAUUUCUGUUUAGAUACCAGUUUAAGAUAGUUCCUUCUACAAAAAAUGUUUAUGGCUUAGAAGCCAGUGUCAGAGAUAAGGCAUUUACAGAAAGUAAAUAGUUGUGAUGAAAAUAAAUGAACUACAAUAAAGUGUAUAAAAAG